rnacentral:rRNA from 1 species
AGAGUUUGAUCAUGGCUCAGAACGAACGCUGGCGGCGUGCCUAACACAUGCAAGUCGAACGAGAAAGGGGCUUCGGCUCCGAGUAAAGUGGCGCACGGGUGAGUAACACGUGGGUAACCUGCCUCUAAGAUUGGGAUAACUCGUCGAAAGAUGAGCUAAUACCGGAUAAGACCACAGUUCCUGCGGGAACAGCGGUCAAAGGUAGCCUCUGCUUGCAAGCUAUCACUUAGAGAUGGGCCUGCGCACCAUUAGCUAGUUGGUAGGGUAACGGCCUACCAAGGCAAAGAUGGUUAGCUGGUCUGAGAGGAUGAUCAGCCACACUGGAACUGAGACACGGUCCAGACUCCUACGGGAGGCAGCAGUGGGGAAUAUUGCGCAAUGGGCGAAAGCCUGACGCAGCAACGCCGCGUGAGUGAUGAAGGCCUUCGGGUCGUAAAGCUCUGUCGGGAGGAACGAAUGCUCCUGAGGUUAACAGCCUCGGGAGGUGACGGUACCUUCAAAGGAAGCACCGGCUAACUCUGUGCCAGCAGCCGCGGUA